GACGACCAUUGAGCGUGCAAUGAUAGAUACCUGUGAAUAAUUGUCUAUAGGUGUGAAAGAAGGUUUCUAUCAUUGCACGCUCAACGGUUGUCUUGCUUUGAUGACAAGGCACGGCUACCUUUCAAGAUGGCGCAGGUAACUGUGAAGGAGACUAUUGCAUUUAAAUUCAGCAUAAGAAGUUUGACCAUUUAGUGUGAGUUCUUUCCAUUUUCCUUUUGUAGUACAGUAGCAAGGGUUAGAAAGUAUUUUCUGUUAAUGCCAAUUGCUACUUGGACUUUAUAUGAUUUAAAAAGCUUAUUGCACUACUUCAUGUUAUGUAAGCCUUUGUAAUUAAUGAGCCAACCAGAAGGCGACUGGCUGAUGGCUAGUAAAUUAACAUAACAUGAAGUUUCGCUUUAAAAUAAGUGUAUUACUGAGGUGUGUCUAACAAAAACUUGAAAGACUUUUUUUUUCUUUACUCAAAUGUUUGUAACGUGUUUGUCUAUGUUUGUUCCAUUUUAAACUUCUCGAGAGUAGAAUUCGGUAGAAUUCGGUUUCUUUCUUUUACAACCAUCUGCAUUUAUCCAUCUUUCAAAACGUUGGCCAAGCAAAAAGUCUUGACUGGUCUGCUGAUUUUUGCAGAAUUUGUGUCAUGAGCCCGCGAUCUAAAUCGGUUACGUAAACAAAUUUGACAAGACAAAAUAAACGAAACCAUACAACCGACCAUAUAGGGGCCUAAAUCACCAAUGUUUGGGAUGUAGAUCUUGGCUUCACUUAUAAAUGUCUUUCUUAAAGAAGAUCUUCACUAAAAAUCCACCGGUAGAGAUGUAUAGAGGCAAGGAGUUACAUACAGUGGUUCAUUACAGCCCCCUAAGCCAGAUGAGCGAGAUAAUAGAUGGCCAUCUUUAUCUCGGAAGUUUACGAAUAGCAAUGGAAGAAAAACAGCUAAAAGAACGAGGAAUUACUGAUAUUAUUAACGCGAGUAUGGAAGAGCGAAAAUACAAAAUUCCUGUCAAAUGUAUGGUUAUAAACAUCAAUGACAAUUCAGACGCCGAUAUAUCGCUGUAUUUUGAUAUGGUAGCCGACAAAAUAGAUGCAGUAAAAAAGGAAAAUGGAAGGGUAUUGGUUCACUGCGUGGCUGGUGUCAGUAGGUCAGCCACUCUCGUGAUUGCAUAUCUCAUGAAAUACUACAAAAUGACCUUAAAAGAUUCCCAUGAUUUUGUCAAGAAAAAAAGGUCGAUCAUCAGCCCAAAUUAUGGAUUCUGGAAUCACCUCAUAGACUAUGAAAAGAAACUAUUUGGAAAAAGCACAGUUGAAAAGAAAGAGACUGCGAAAAAGAAAGAUGUUGGCUACGUACUUUAUCACUGAUAGUUUGUAUAUAUUGUAGCGUUCCUCUAAAUUGCUUUAUUUGUACUUCAGGCUAAUCCUAACUAGGGAGGGGAGGGUCAGUCUAAUCAUUACAAUAUUGUAGAGUGUCCUAAGCCAGUGAAACAAUAAGAUAAUUUAUGCAAAAUUAAUUAUUGAGAAUGAAAGAUUUGGUACUAAAAUUGUAUCUGAAUUUUUAGUUUUUAAGCAUGAAUUUUUUGAGAUUCAAAAGGCAAAAGACCAGAGGACGUAAUGGGAGGGGUGGAUCCAUAAUUUUGUUUUCAACAUUUCAUCAUGUCACAUAGUAUUAAACUCCUUGUGAACGCAUUCUCUGGGACUCACCAGCUCGUCCCAGGAACCACGUGCAAGGAAUAACUGAGUGCAAGAACUGGUACUUAUAAAAAAAAUCAUUUUUGAUGAAACACCAACAUGGCUGCCAUGAUGUCAGCUGAAUAAAAACAAUUAUUUAUAAUUAUUAAUUAUAUUGAUAUAGUGCAUGAACUCAAGCAUCCUCCACUGACUUUUCCUGACAUAGGAAGAAUACAGCUUGCCUGUGGAGGAUGCUAAUUCCUUUCUUAAAUAACAAAAAAAUAUCACAGGAGUGGGGUCAGAUGUAGCCAGAACAAAUGUACACAUUCUAGUGAAAAAUGCUUGAGGCUACUGCAGUUUUAAUAUAUAUUCACAGAGAGAGAACAAAAUAACUUUAUUGUUCAUUUUGUACAUUACUCAGUCACUGUAUACAUCAGUAUAUAUUGUAAAUAAAAAUGUUAUGAUUCUUUUA
rnacentral:misc_RNA from 1 species